AGGUCUGUAUACAGUUGGUGCAUGGUUGUCGUCAGCUCGUGUCGUGAGAUGUUGGGUUAAGUCCCGCAACGAGCGCAACCCUCGUUCUGUGUUGCCAGCAUUAAGUUGGGGACUCACAGGAGACUGCCGGGGUUAACUCGGAGGAAGGUGGGGAUGACGUCAAAUCAUCAUGCCCCUUAUGUCUUGGGCUGCACGCAUGCUACAAUGGCUGGUACAAACGGCUGCAAUACCGCAAGGUGGAGCGAAUCCGAGAAAGCCAGUCUCAGUUCGGAUUGGGGUCUGCAACUCGACCCCAUGAAGUCGGAGUUGCUAGUAAUCGUAGAUCAGCAACGCUACGGUGAAUACGUUCCCGGGGCUUGUACACACCGCCCGUCACGUCACGAAAGUCGGUAACACCCGAAAGUCAGUGGCCCAACC
rnacentral:rRNA from 1 species